UAGGGAAUCUUCGGCAAUGGACGAAAGUCUGACCGAGCAACGCCGCGUGAGUGAAGAAGGUUUUCGGAUCGUAAAACUCUGUUGUUAGAGAAGAACAAGGACGUUAGUAACUGAACGUCCCCUGACGGUAUCUAACCAGAAAGCCACGGCUAACUACGUGCCAGCAGCCGCGGUAAGACGUAGGUGGCAAGCGUUGUCCGGAUUUAUUGGGCGUAAAGCGAGCGCAGGCGGUUUCUUAAGUCUGAUGUGAAAGCCCCCGGCUCAACCGGGGAGGGUCAUUGGAAACUGGGAGACGUGAGUGCAGAAGAGGAGAGUGGAAAUCAAUGUGUAGCGGUGAAAUGCGUAGAUAUAUGGGAGAACACCAGGGGCGAAGGCGGCACUCUGGUCUGUAACUGACGCUGAGGCUCGAAAGCGGGGGGAGCAAACAGG
rnacentral:rRNA from 1 species